rnacentral:rRNA from 1 species
UACGAAGGGGGCUAGCGUUGUUCGGAUUUACUGGGCGUAAAGCGCACGUAGGCGGAUCGUUAAGUCGGGGGUGAAAUCCUGGAGCUCAACUCCAGAACUGCCUUCGAUACUGGCGAUCUUGAGUCCGGAAGAGGUGAGUGGAACUCCGAGUGUAGAGGUGAAAUUCGUAGAUAUUCGGAAGAACACCAGUGGCGAAGGCGGCUCACUGGCCCGGUACUGACGCUGAGGUGCGAAAGCGUGGGGAGCAAACAGGG